rnacentral:rRNA from 1 species
AUUGAACGCUGGCGGCAUGCCUUACACAUGCAAGUCGAACGGCAGCACGGGAGCAAUCCUGGUGGCGAGUGGCGAACGGGUGAGUAAUGUAUCGGAACGUGCCCAGUCGUGGGGGAUAACGUAGCGAAAGCUACGCUAAUACCGCAUACGAUCUGUGGAUGAAAGCGGGGGACCGUAAGGCCUCGCGCGGUUGGAGCGGCCGAUAUCAGAUUAGGGAGUUGGUAGGGUAAAGGCCUACCAAGCCGACGAUCUGUAGCUGGUCUGAGAGGACGACCAGCCACACUGGGACUGAGACACGGCCCAGACUCCUACGGGAGGCAGCAGUGGGGAAUUUUGGACAAUGGGCGCAAGCCUGAUCCAGCAAUGCCGCGUGCAGGAUGAAGGCCUUCGGGUUGUAAACUGCUUUUGUACGGAGCGAAAAGGCUCUCUCUAAUACAGGGGGCUCAUGACGGUACCGUAAGAAUAAGCACCGGCUAACUACGUGCCAGCCGCCGCGGUAA